rnacentral:piRNA from 1 species
UGGCUCUUGUAGCUUUGAAGGUGAUAUGGAC